AGAGUUUGAUCCUGGCUCAGGAUGAACGCUAGCUACAGGCUUAACACAUGCAAGUCGAGGGGCAGCAUGGUCUUAGCUUGCUAAGGCCGAUGGCGACCGGCGCACGGGUGAGUAACACGUAUCCAACCUGCCGUCUACUCUUGGACAGCCUUCUGAAAGGAAGAUUAAUACAAGAUGGCAUCAUGAGUCCGCAUGUUCACAUGAUUAAAGGUAUUCCGGUAGACGAUGGGGAUGCGUUCCAUUAGAUAGUAGGCGGGGUAACGGCCCACCUAGUCUUCGAUGGAUAGGGGUUCUGAGAGGAAGGUCCCCCACAUUGGAACUGAGACACGGUCCAAACUCCUACGGGAGGCAGCAGUGAGGAAUAUUGGUCAAUGGACGAGAGUCUGAACCAGCCAAGUAGCGUGAAGGAUGACUGCCCUAUGGGUUGUAAACUUCUUUUAUAAAGGAAUAAAGUCGGGUAUGGAUACCCGUUUGCAUGUACUUUAUGAAUAAGGAUCGGCUAACUCCGUGCCAGCAGCCGCGGUAAUACGGAGGAUCCGAGCGUUAUCCGGAUUUAUUGGGUUUAAAGGGAGCGUAGAUGGAUGUUUAAGUCAGUUGUGAAAGUUUGCGGCUCAACCGUAAAAUUGCAGUUGAUACUGGAUAUCUUGAGUGCAGUUGAGGCAGGCGGAAUUCGUGGUGUAGCGGUGAAAUGCUUAGAUAUCACGAAGAACUCCGAUUGCGAAGGCAGCCUGCUAAGCUGCAACUGACAUUGAGGCUCGAAAGUGUGGGUAUCAAACAGGAUUAGAUACCCUGGUAGUCCACACGGUAAACGAUGAAUACUCGCUGUUUGCGAUAUACUGCAAGCGGCCAAGCGAAAGCGUUAAGUAUUCCACCUGGGGAGUACGCCGGCAACGGUGAAACUCAAAGGAAUUGACGGGGGCCCGCACAAGCGGAGGAACAUGUGGUUUAAUUCGAUGAUACGCGAGGAACCUUACCCGGGCUUAAAUUGCAGAUGAAUUACGGUGAAAGCCGUAAGCCGCAAGGCAUCUGUGAAGGUGCUGCAUGGUUGUCGUCAGCUCGUGCCGUGAGGUGUCGGCUUAAGUGCCAUAACGAGCGCAACCCUUAUCGAUAGUUACCAUCAGGUUAUGCUGGGGACUCUGUCGAGACUGCCGUCGUAAGAUGUGAGGAAGGUGGGGAUGACGUCAAAUCAGCACGGCCCUUACGUCCGGGGCUACACACGUGUUACAAUGGGGGGUACAGAAGGCAGCUACACGGCGACGUGAUGCUAAUCCCUAAAACCUCUCUCAGUUCGGAUUGGAGUCUGCAACCCGACUCCAUGAAGCUGGAUUCGCUAGUAAUCGCGCAUCAGCCACGGCGCGGUGAAUACGUUCCCGGGCCUUGUACACACCGCCCGUCAAGCCAUGGGAGCCGGGGGUACCUGAAGUGCGUAACCGCGAGGAGCGCCCUAGGGUAAAACUGGUGACUGGGGCUAAGUCGUAACAAGGUAGCCGUACCGGAAGGUGCGGCUG
rnacentral:rRNA from 1 species